rnacentral:tRNA from 1 species
GCGCUAGUGGUUCAGUGGUAGAAUUCGAGCUUCCCAAGCUUGUGACCCGGGUUCAAUUCCCGGCUGGCGCA